GACGAACGCUGGCGGCGUGCUUAACACAUGCAAGUCGAACGGAAAGGCCCUGCUUUUGUGGGGUGCUCGUGUGGCGAACGGGUGAGUAACACGUGAGUAACAUGUCCUUGACUUUGGGAUAACUUCAGGAAACUGGGGCUAAUACCGGAUAGGAGCUCCUGCUGCAUGGUGGGGGUUGGAAAGAUUCGGCGGUUGGGGAUGGACUCGCGGCUUAUCAGCUUGUUGGUGGGGUAGUGGCUUACAAAGGCUUUGACGGGUAGCCGGCCUGAGAGGGUGACCGGCCACAUUGGUACUGCGGUACGGCCCAGACGCCUACGGGACGCAGCAGUGGGGAAUAUUGCACAAUGGGCGGAAGCCUGAUGCAGCAACGCCGCGUUCGUGAUGCCCUCCUUCGGGUUGUAAACCGCUUUCGCCUGUGACGAAGCGAGAGUGACGGUAAUUGGUAAAGAAGCACCGGCUAACUACGUG
rnacentral:rRNA from 1 species